rnacentral:rRNA from 1 species
CGCUGCUACCCAACCCUGAACAUGCUUGAUCUUGUCUGAGCUCAGAAGCUGAGCAAGGUUAGGCCUCUGUAGUACUUAGAUGGGAGAGGAGAGUUUUAUUGUUGUAGUUU